rnacentral:rRNA from 1 species
UACGUAGGGGGCUAGCGUUGUCCGGAAUCAUUGGGCGUAAAGAGCGUGUAGGCGGUCCGGUAAGUCCGUUGUGAAAGUCAAGGGCUCAACCCUUGAAUGCCGGCGGAUACUGUCGGGCUAGAGUCCGGAAGAGGCGAGUGGAAUUCCCGGUGUAGCGGUGAAAUGCGCAGAUAUCGGGAGGAACACCUAUGGCGAAGGCAGCUCGCUGGGACGGUACUGACGCUGAGACGCGAAAGCGUAGGGAGCAAACAGG